rnacentral:rRNA from 1 species
GUAGGUGGCAAGCGUUGUCCGGAAUUAUUGGGCGUAAGGCGCGCGCAGGCGGUCCUUUAAGUCUGAUGUGAAAGCCCACGGCUCAACCGUGGAGGGUCAUUGGAAACUGGGGGACUUGAGUACAGAAGAGGAAAGCGGAAUUCCAAGUGUAGCGGUGAAAUGCGUAGAGAUUUGGAGGAACACCAGUGGCGAAGGCGGCUUUCUGGUCUGUAACUGACGCUGAGGCGCGAAAGCGUGGGGAGCAAACAGGGAUUAGAUACCCUGGUAGUCCACGCCGUAAACGAUGAGUGCUAAGUGUUAGGGGGUUUCCCGCCCCUUAGUGCUGCAGCUAACGCAUUAAGCACUCCGCCUGGGGAGUACGGCCCGCAAGGCUG